rnacentral:rRNA from 1 species
AGAGUUUGAUCCUGGCUCAGGAUGAACGCUGGCGGCGUGCCUAAUACAUGCAAGUCGGACGCAAUGCUUCGGCAUUGAGUGGCGAACGGGUGAGUAAGACAUAAGCAACCUGCCCCUGUGAGGGGGAUAACUGCUGGAAACGGCAGCUAAGACCGCAUAGGCAUACAUGACGCAUGUCGAGUAUGUUAAAUAUCCCACGGGAUAGCACAGGGAUGGGCUUAUGACGCAUUAGCUAGCUGGUGAGGUAGAGGCUCACCAGGGCGACGAUGCGUAGCCGGCCUGAGAGGGUGGACGGCCACACUGGGACUGAGACACGGCCCAGACUCCUACGGGAGGCAGCAGUAGGGAAUUUUCGGCAAUGGGCGAAAGCCUGACCGAGCAACGCCGCGUGAAGGAAGAAGUCAUUCGUGAUGUAAACUUCUGUUAUAAAGGAAGAACGGCGCCUGUAGGGAAUGACAGGCGAGUGACGGUACUUUAUGAGGAAGCCACGGCUAACUACGUGCCAGCAGCCGCGGUAAUACGUAGGUGGCGAGCGUUAUCCGGAAUCAUUGGGCGUAAAGAGGGAGCAGGCGGCAGUGCAGGUCUGCGGUGAAAGCCCGAAGCUAAACUUCGGUAAGCCGGGGAAACCGCACAGCUAGAGAGCAUCAGAGGAUCGCGGAAUUCCAUGUGUAGCGGUGAAAUGCGUAGAUAUAUGGAGGAACACCAGUGGCGAAGGCGGCGGUCUGGGGUGCAGCUGACGCUCAGUCCCGAAAGCGUGGGGAGCAAACAGGAUUAGAUACCCUAGUAGUCCACGCCGUAAACGAUGAGUGCUAAGUGUUGGGGGUCAGACCUCAGUGCUGCAGUUAACGCAAUAAGCACUCCGCCUGAGUAGUACGUUCGCAAGAAUGAAACUCAAAGGAAUUGACGGGGGCCCGCACAAGCGGUGGAGCAUGUGGUUUAAUUCGAAGCAACGCGAAGAACCU